AGCCAUUCCUCCCUCUGUUUCUUAACUCCGAGUAGUCUUCGUCAGGAGCUUCCUCGUCCGCUUAAUUCCAUUGUUGGAUUAAUCUCUGGUUGCGGUAUUUCAUUUGGAGGAUUUAGCAGCAUUCUCACAGUGGAUGUCAACAAAAUUCUCCGAAUCACCAAACAUGCCAUCAGUCUUGUUCGAAAGGUCAGCGACGUCACAGAUAUAUUCUCAAGGAUACGAGAAAGCUGGAUCUUGAGAUAUUGGUUCAUUAAUUUGGUGUUUGGUUAGCUAACCGUCAAGUACAACCGACCUUGAUUGGCAAAAUCAAUCUAAACAGAGCAUUGGUCAUCCGUUGCAGAAAAUCAGAAAAUCAGAGAAGGUGUAAAAAGCUGGGGGACAAGUAAAUUUCACUAUCCACGUGAAAGGGUGCAAUUCUUGGUUGGCUAUGCGUUCCUAUCGGUUCAGAGUUGAAAAAGCAAGAAGCUAACAUUCUCAAUUCAUUUUGGGACACUAAAAUGAAUAGGAAUUUGAGAGAAUGCUUCUGGUGGAUUAACAUGAAAAAUGAUGUCAACAAGUGAAAAGUGAGCAUCGAAAACCAGUUGGAGCAUAUUAUCAUUGGUCUGCCGCGAAUGUCAAGUGGUAAAAAUGCUAUAAAUCGAUUAACUAAGAUGGCUCUUUUUGAAGAUUUUUAUGGUCGAAAAUGUAAAAAUCCUAUUUGUUGGGAUGGUGUUGGUGAAAAGAGACUAAAGAGUCCAAAGUUUAUUCAACAAUUAGAAGAGAAAAAUAAGUUGGUCCGAGAGCGUCUCAAAACGGCACAAAGUUGUGAGAAAAGUUACGCAAACUUUAAAAAGCGGGGAGUGAAAUUUAAUAUGGGGAUUGCGUGUUCCAGAAAGUUUCUCCCAUGAAAGGCGUUAUGAGACUCGGCAUGCGUGGCAAGUUAAGUUCAAAAUAUGUGGGACAGUUCUUGAUUUUAAGAAGAUUGGCGAUUUUGCAUAUAAACUUGCUUUGCACCAUGUGAUAUCCAAAGGGAACAACCACACUCCGAGUGAUUGAUUGGGCACUCGAGGAGGAAACAAGGCGCAAAUGUCAUCAUUUGUUUGAAAGUUGAGGUAAGGUGCAAAAAUAUUUUUAUUGCAUUAACGAAUUUUGUUGGAUACAUUAAAUGUUGAUUGGCAUUGUCUUGAUUGCUUUUGAAAAUUCAUUGGAAUUACCUUUUUUGGCUUCAAUGAGUCCAAACAUAUAGCAAUUCAUCUGAUAUUUCUUAGAGAAGCAACCCCUUUGACGAAAUUAAAAAGAAA